rnacentral:lncRNA from 1 species
GGCAGAACCUAUACUGUGUCUGGAAGUGGCUCAGCCUUCAGUACGUCACCCAGCAGAUACUAUACUGCAUCUGAAGGCGAAUCACCCAGCAGAUACUAUACUGCAUCUGAGGGCAACUCACCCAGCAGAUACUAUACUGCAUCUGGAAGCAACAUAUUUGGAGGUAAUUUUCAGCCUUCAAUUUCAUCCCAAGCAGCCAGUACACCUGCUACUCCUACUUCUCCUGAUGAAUCAUUUCAGCUUGUCUUCGUACCCCAAGGAACCAUUUCACCUCGUACCCCUGAUCCUGAUGCCUCUUUUCAGUUUCCGGUUUCAGCCCAAGCUGCUCGUACACCUCCUGCACU